GGCAAGCAGUGUAUCAUCCAAAUAUGAAGUCAUUUCUCCUGUAUCCUGGCCAUGUGUUUGUUCUGGCACAUACUCUAUUGAGCAGAUUUCACUUGACAUUUCAAAGUGGUUGUGGUUGGAAUCUCUCGUUUUCUCUCUCUUCUCAGGCUUUAUAACAAGUGAUGGAAAGCAAACAUGUUUAGUUGCAUUUUUUAUUAUUGCUUCACUUUGUCCUCUGUGUGAUCCUGACCUUCGUGAACAGCACAGACUUCACCUCGACUGAAGCAGCGUAAUGUUUAAAGGCUCUGAGGAGCUGUCUCUGAGUUUGCCGGGAAGAGUCAAGACUCCUGCGUAGGAUGUUCGUGGAAUACCUUCCUGUGGAUUCUGUCCUGUCCCAAACAUCCAAGGGCAGGACUUCCUUGCUGUGCAGCACGGGGCUUUGAAAAUGAUGUCCAAACUGCUCUCCAGAGAGUUCUCAGGAUCAGGCCUCCACAUACUCAACAAGCCAAAAGGGAACAGCCGUGGAGAACACCUCCGAGCAAAUGCAGUCAAAGAGAAAAUGAAGCCAUAGAAACAUGCUAUUUUGGCUGCUGAUGUGACUCAAUCAAAAGGAAAAGCAAGGGAGGAAAGACAUUCCAGAUGUCAACAGUGAACUCUUCACAGAUCCGGUUUGUGGCCACAAGAGCUUUGUGUACCUGUCCUGCUAAAUCCAUUAUGAAUCUCCUGUAAGUGGCUUUGCACAGCCAGAGAAUUCUCGGAAGCCUUUCAAUCAUGCACAUUGCUGCGUUGCAUUGCUCUUCUGCUUCGUGCCAGGCUUCUCCGGAACCUGCAGAAUGAGACAUUUACGUUAGAUGCCGUUUGGGAAUUCCAGUAGCAAAGGUGUGGGAAAGGCAGUGAAGCCAAGAUGCGGGAAGCAUGCUGACUAAUAUAUUUCUCGAUAGCGGAUACACUCCAGAAAGCAUUUUGAGAGAUUUUGAUGUACAAAAUGAUUUUUUUUUUUUUUAUUCAACUAACAAAUGAAAUGGGUUCUAGAUGUAAAUUGCACUAGACUGAGGUAAGCCAGAUGGAAUAGUGUAGGGAGUAACAAAUUGCAGGAGGUUUGCUUCCUUCAAGAGAGCAUAUACUCCAUGUAGGUCUCUCUGGACUGCUCUCUGUAAGCCGCAGCAGGCGAACAUGUAGCGUGUUGAGUUUCAUAUGUAAUGUUUCAGGAAAAGGCCUUUUUUUAUGAGACCUGAGGUCUUGCAGAAUUGGUUGUACUACUAGCAUUGGUAGUUGUAGCUAUCAAUCCAUUCAAACCAAAUCUUCAAGGACUUUUGCAUUGAAAAUACUCAUUUAUUGGCAAUUGGGAGUCUUUGAGUACAUUUUUUGUUGUAAUGGAGCAGGUAAUUUUUGGAAAUCCGAGAAUUGAGGCUGUUUUUGCUAAUGCUAAAUUGCUAUUGAAAAGCAGUAUGCUUCAUGCACCCUUCAGAGUGAAUUGAACUCCAAGUAUGUAAGGCCAAACCAUGUUUCAGCAUGUUUCAACAUACUUUCUUUUUCUAAGUAAAACCACCAUGCACACACCAACUGCUGUACUCCAAUUAUUUAGAGUUAUAUACAUAAUUUUGUUAGCAUGUGUGGCACUGGCAACACGUAGCCUACAUGGGUUUCAUUUAAUGAGUAUUGAUAUGCGGUGUGCACCGAACAGACUGUGCUAUUUCUCUUUGCGUAUUCCAUUAGAUUUUCUG